rnacentral:rRNA from 1 species
UCAGGCCUAACACAUGCAAGUCGAGCGAGGACUUCGGUCCUAGCGGCGGACGGGUGAGUAACGCGUGGGAACGUGCCCUUUGCUUCGGAAUAGCCCUGGGAAACUGGGAGUAAUACCGGAUGAGCCCUACGGGGGAAAGAUUUAUCGGCGAAGGAUCGGCCCGCGUUGGAUUAGGUAGUUGGUGGGGUAAUGGCCUACCAAGCCGACGAUCCAUAGCUGGUUUGAGAGGAUGAUCAGCCACACUGGGACUGAGACACGGCCCAGACUCCUACGGGAGGCAGCAGUGGGGAAUCUUAGACGAUGGGGGAAACCCUGAUCUAGCCAUGCCGCGUAGAGAAGGAGGCCUUAGGGUUGUAAAGCUCUUCAGCUGGGAAGAUAAUG